UACGGAAGGGGCAAGCGUUGUUCGGAAUCAUUGGGCGUAAAGGGCGCGUAGGCGGUCGUGACAAGUCACUUGUGAAAUCUCCGGGCUUAACUCGGAACGGUCAAGUGAUACUGUCGGACUAGAGUACAGAAGGGGCAACUGGAAUUCUCGGUGUAGCGGUGAAAAUGCGUAGAUAUCAGAGGAACACCUGCGGCGAAGGCGGGGUUGCUGGGGCUGAUA
rnacentral:rRNA from 1 species